AUUUUUGUUUACACGGUGUCUGAUGGAGACAAACGCAUCGUAUCUUCCUCCAUCCUUGUUUGUCUUGUUCUUGAAGAAGCACAAACUGAGCACACACCUUGUGAUGGUGAACAAAGAGCUCCAGAACAUCCAACACCGUGAGCGCCACCUCGGUAGACAAGUUGGCCUCCACAUCAGUGGGACUCAGAUUGUCCCCGUCCUGGAUAGUCCCAUCUGGAAGCGAGACACCGAUGCAGAUCAGGUGAAGCAAGUCCCUCAAAGCCCGCCUUGUGUGCGUCACCCACCGGUCUCCAUCAUCUGCAGCAGUUUGGGGUUGGUGAGGGCGUUCUUGCCCCGGAUGAUGGGCAUGGUCUGGGAACGAGCCUGUCGGUGACCUUCUGCUCCAGAAGAAGCCAUCCUGAAGGAAAGAGCAACGCCGUCCAUCUUUUCACUGUUCCUGUCACUGUUGCUGGGGUUGGAGUCCACGCUGAUGAGGGAGCCCCGAGAGUCGGCCUGGUUGCCCGUAGCAACUGCCAAGGAUGAAAAGGCU